GCCGAUAUAGAGGAGUCUGGAGUCCUCGCCACCCUGUCACGGUGGAGAUCACGGGUUCAAAUCCCGUUAUUGGCGC
rnacentral:tRNA from 1 species